rnacentral:rRNA from 1 species
GACGAACGCUGGCGGCGUGCUUAACACAUGCAAGUCGAACGGAAAGGCCCUGCGUUUGUGGGGUGCUCGAGUGGCGCACGGGUGUGUAACACGUGUGUAACCCGCCCUUGUCUUUGGGAUAACUUCAGGGAACUGGGGCUAAUACCGGAUAGGAGCUCCUGCUCCAUGGUGGGGGUUGGAAAGUUUCGGCGGUUGGGGAUGGACUCGCGGGUUAUCAGCUUGUUGGUGGGGUAGUGGCUUACCAAGGGUUUGACGGGUAGCCGGCCUGAGAGGGUGAACGGCCACAUUGGGACUGAGAGAGGGCGCAGACUCGUACGGGAGGCAGCAGUGGGGAAUAUUGCAGAAUGGGGGGAAGCCUGAUGCAGCAACGCUGCGAGCGUAAUACCGGCCUACGAGUUGUAAACCACUUUCGCCUGUGACGAAGCGGGAGUGACGGUAAUGGGUAAAGAAGCACCGGCUAACUACGUG